UUUUUAUUCUCGUUAAGUCAUGCUUUCAGUGUCACAAAGUUCUUAGUUUUUUCAGAUUUUAUUGUUUUAGUUUGGUGACACUGAAAGCCCAUUUUAUAUAGUUUUCAAUUUUUCAUCGGACUUUUGUAUGUCCAUUAAUGUUUUCUUUUUUUUUUUUUUGGCACGACCUCCGAAGUAGACGGUUGUUCGGUGUAGUCACUAUUCAUUUACUAUUAUUUAAAAUUCAUUGUCGAUCGCAUACACAAUACACGUUUCCUGUUCGUAUUCUAGUCAAUUUCACAUGAAGUCACAGUCACUCAUUCUGUUUACAUCAUCUGUGAAUUGCUUCCUGUAAGUAUCGUUCAGUCAUUUUGUUCAGUUCAUUAUAUUAAUAUUAUUUCCCCAAUUCAGGGCGCACAAAGAGAUACUUACAGAAGCACGUGCAUUUUUGCCAUUUGUGAUUUGCAUGUACAUUGUGAUUUAUUCGGCCGAGCUGGUGGCCCGUAUAGUCGUACGUUCUCAGGAUUGUCACACAUUUUAGUAUUAAUAUGGUAAAUUUUUAUUGUUCAAAUGUGUGCAUCCUGAGACGGUAGCGUUUGGUUUGAAGCCACUAAACGGACACCAGCUCAACAGGUACUUUUAUUAAAAAUUUCAAAAAUACAUCAAGUGUAUGACUCGUGAAAGUGAAUUUUGCUGUUUUGUUCAACAUUACCUAGUCACUAAUUAACAUCGUCAAUUAUUGCAAUACUUUAUAAACCAACGGAUCUGAAUGAAUAAAUGUUAUAUUCUAAAUACACCCUCACUCUGUUAGACGACUACUUGAAGACUCACAAUCUUGAAAUAGAAAUCCAUGCUUUAUUUGAUUGGUAACUGAGAGUGAAUCAAUAUUAUAAGGUCAUAAAAAAAUGUUAUAGUAGCAGCUAGUCCAUACCUAUUUCUGAGCUGUUUUUAACAGUUUUGAGAAGAGCAACAAAUCUUGUUAAUAUGAGUUGGGUUCUACAGUUUUACUACUAUUUGUAGAUUAUAUAUUACACUGGCAAACUGGUCACCAAUGAAAAUAUACAGGUUUUGUUACCGGCUACAUAUCAUUUAAAGUUGGACUAUACAAUAUAUGUGCAGAGAUUCUACUAACACAAAUGGAUACUUCUAAUUAUCUUUCUAUAAAAUCAUUUGCCAACUUACAUAGUUGUACGGAGUUCUCUCAAGUUUUGAAGCAUUCAUCAAUAAACAAUUUUUAUAAAUGGUUAAAGGUGAUUAGUUCUUAUCAUUAUCUUGUAAAAUGUGUUGAGAUUAUUUCCUAUAAUGACAUUGCUGUUCCAUUUGUGGAGAAAAUAAGCUAACAAAAAAAGCCAUGGAAUGUGUUAUUAAAUGGGUAAAAAUAUUUUGGAUUGGAGAAAAAUAAACUGCCAGUAUAAUGGAACUCGUGCGUUUGCCAUUAUUAGCAUCAACGACCAAUAUAUAGUAAAUAUUGUGGUUCAAGAACCACUUUUGAAAAAUAAUUUUAUAUGUAAACAAACUUUACAAUUUCUUUUGAAGAAUUCAGUUCAGUAUUUCGCUAUUUCAAAAACGAUUCGGUGUUGAGGUUUUGAUGUCACUGUUUAAAAAUGGGUACAGCUAGUACAACUACAGAAGUGAUUUGCGAUGGGUAUACUCAAUAAUCGUUUAUAUAAAAUACGAGCGUUUUCAAAACAUUAGAAGUCUGGCAAACUUUAUGAAUCCGCACAUGAACUACCUAGUUGAAGAACUGUCUAUAUAUCACAAAGGUGUUAAUAUAGAAGUUUUGGAAGGUGUAUGUAUGCUAUCAGUGUUAGUGAUGGAUCAACAUUUCUUCAGUAUUGAGGCCUGAUGACUAAUGAUGGAUUAUGGUCGUUUAUUGCUAAUACAUUUCUCGAUACAUACCUGGAUUAGUCAAAUGAGAUGUUUUAUUGUAUGUGAUUGACGGAGAGACAAAGAAAUCUGAAGAAAUUGUUAAUACUAUAGACGUGUACAACCGAACACUAAUACCUGGUCCAUGGAAACAUUGUCAAGAAGGAACAUUGACUUCUGUGUGUUUAGUUGAGUAGUCAUUAUUGGGCCACCACAUUUUAUAUCUUAUUUACGUUUAUAAUAGUCUUAUUAUUGUUUGUAAUAAUACACACAUAUGACUAACUUAUGA